UUGGGUUUAAAAUUAUCCAAAAUACAUAUUUGAGAAAAUACACAACCAGCCAGUGUUCAAAACUCUCUGCUUGCCUUAGCUCGAAUCAAAGCGGUAAGCUUGUAAUAAUGUUUUUAAUUCCAGUGGUACUGGUGGAUUUCCGCGGGAGAUUCGAGCAUGUCUUUGCGUCAUUACGUGGAGAUUUAUAACCUUUUCUCACAGCACUUGAUAUAAUUAAACUUAUCAAUUUGAUGGCGGAUCCAGAAAGGUUCAAACGACAAUCACCAGUGACAACUAGAGAUUCACCCGCUGUAAAAUGCAAAAGACUUCGUUCGGACUUCGGAGUG